GAUGAACGCUGGCGGUAUGCUUAACACAUGCAAGUCGAACGGACUCUUCGGAGUUAGUGGCGGACGGGUGAGUAACGCGUGAGAAUCUGGCUUUGGGUUCGGGACAACCACUGGAAACGGUGGCUAAUACCGGAUGUGCCGAGAGGUAAAAGAGAAAUUGCCUGAAGAUGAGCUCGCGUCUGAUUAGCUAGUUGGUGAGGUAAAGGCUCACCAAGGCAGCGAUCAGUAGCUGGUCUGAGAGGAUGACCAGCCACACUGGGACUGAGACACGGCCCAGACUCCUACGGGAGGCAGCAGUGGGGAAUUGUCCGCAAUGGGCGAAAGCCUGACGGAGCAAUACCGCGUGAGGGAAGAAGGCUCUUGGGUUGUAAACCUCUUUUCUUAGGGAAGAACAAAAUGACGGUACCUAAGGAAUCAGCAUCGGCCAACUCCGUG
rnacentral:rRNA from 1 species